rnacentral:tRNA from 1 species
CAGGGAGACAACAAAAUGUUUAAUAUUAUUAUUUUGUCACCUUAGGUCGAUCGGUAUCUCACGUUCUUGAUUUAUUAAGAAUUUCAUUUUCUAAGUUUUUCUAGGUCACACCCAUUAUUUUUCCUGGGCCAUUAGCUCAGGUGGUUAGAGCGCACCCCUGAUAAGGGUGAGGUCCCUGGUUCAAGUCCAGGAUGGCCCAUAUCUCUAUGUUGGGGGUAUAGCUCAGUUGGUAGAGCGCCUGCUUUGCAAGCAGGAUGUCAGCGGUUCGAGUCCGCUUACCUCCACUGAUUACCACCUCUUCCAUAAUCGGUAGAAAGGAAAUGUUUUGAGUUGUGAUCAAAUUCUGAAAGAAUCUAGCUUCCUAAUGUAAUUAUUAAGAUGCUGGACUCAUUGAAUUAAUUUUCAUUGUUUUCAGAGAACCUUGACAACUGCAUAGAUUAUUUUUAAAGACAAUAAGUAUCUUUAAUGAUGCAGAUUUAUUAUUUUUGCUAAUGCAUUAAUAACAAUUCUAUUAAGCUGAUGCUUCAAUUUUGAAGUUAUU